AACGAACGCUGGCGGCAGGCUUAACACAUGCAAGUCGAACGCACCGCAAGGGGAGUGGCAGACGGGUGAGUAACACGUGGGAACAUGCCCAAAGGUACGGAAUAUUCUCGGGAAACUGGGAGCAAUACCGUAUGUGCCCGAAAGGGGAAAGAUUUAUCGCCUUUGGAUUGGCGCGCGUUGGAUUCGCUAGUUGGUGGGGUAACAGACUACCAAGGCGACGAUCCAUAGCUGGUCUGAGAGGACGACCAGCCACACUGGGACUGAGACACGGCCCAGACUCCUACGGGAGGCAGCGGUGGGGAAUCUUGGACAAUGGGCGAAAGCCUGAUCCAGCGAUGCCGCGUGAGUGAUGAAGGCCUUAGGGUUGUAAAACUCUUUCGUGAGGGACGAUAAUGACGGUACCCCAAGAAGAAGCUCCGGCUAACUUCGUGCCAGCAGCCGCCGUAAUAC
rnacentral:rRNA from 1 species